rnacentral:rRNA from 1 species
UACGGGGGGGGCAAGCGUUGUUCGGAAUUACUGGGCGUAAAGCGCGUGUAGGCGGCCAUCUAAGUCGGGCGUGAAAUCCCUCGGCUCAACCGGGGAACUGCGUCCGAUACUGGCGGGCUUGAAUUCGGGAGAGGGAUGUGGAAUUCCAGGUGUAGCGGUGAAAUGCGUAGAUAUCUGGAGGAACACCGGUGGCGAAGGCGGCAUCCUGGACCGACAUUGACGCUGAGGCGCGAAAGCCAGGGGAGCAAACGGG